AGAUUGAACGCUGGCGGCAUGCCUUACACAUGCAAGUCGAACGGUAGAGUAGCAAUACUUGAGAGUGGCGAACGGGUGAGUAAUAUAUCGGAACGUGCCCAGUCGUGGGGGAUAACGUAGAGAAAUUUACGCUAAUACCGCAUACGAUCUAAGGAUGAAAGCGGGGGACCUAAGGCCUCGCGCGAUUGGAGCGGCUGAUAUCAGAUUAGGUUGUUGGUGAGGUAAAAGCUCACCAAGCCGACGAUCUGUAGCUGGUUUGAGAGAACGACCAGCCACACUGGGACUGAGACACGG
rnacentral:rRNA from 1 species